CACACCAUUGAUGUGUGUGGGUUUGAUGUAGCAUCUUCUAAGAGGUCUACAAAGAGACAUUGCAAAGCCAGGCCUCUAAAUGAUUCCUCUGUGAAACAUUGGGCCAAACAUUCCGUAACCCCUUCCUGCUCUGGUGAUCAUGCUCCCAUGACCAGAUCAUUGAACCAUUCUAGAGACUUCAAAUCCAUUGAGAUGGGAUUAAUGCCUUUGCCUACUCAGGCAGAGGACAGACUGACCAUUGCAAGUGUUCAUCAGCAUUUUCCUGCUCUUAGACGGAAAGGCCAAGGCCACCCCAAGCAUGCUGAAAUUAAUGGGCCAUCGUCAGGAAGGAGUUCACAACUGUAUAUGGAGCCAGAACAAAUGGAGAGACCUCGUUCAGUCGAUGGAUGGUAGCAACAAGGAAGAAAGCAAAUGGAGAAAUGACAUCUCAUGACCCAGGUGAAGCCUACUGUUACUAUUUGGCUAAAAUAAGCCACAUAGCUUGUGUUGAAGAAUCUUUUUUAUUUCUUUAAGAAGAAUUUGGUGCCCAUGAAAGUGAUCAAAGUUUUUUGUUCUCCAGUGACAUCAAGCAGGAGAAAAGGAUAUACUCUCCAUUGUGUGGUCUGUGGACUGGCAGCAUCAUCAUGGGUGAGAAAUGAAAAACGUGGGGUCUUCCCUCACAUGGAUCAGUAUCUGCAGUUUCACAAGCUCCCGAGGGGUGAGUGCACAUGAAGGAUUGAGUAUUGCUCCAAAUAACCAGACCAACAAGGGAGGAUGCCUUUGGUGGAAGCCAAAGUUACUGCCUAAAAGACCAGUUUACUACAAAUAGGU
rnacentral:lncRNA from 1 species